CAUCCUCCAAGGCUAAAUACUCCUGACUGACCGAUAGUGAACCAGUACCGUGAGGGAAAGGCGAAAAGAACCCCUGUGAGGGGAGUGAAAUAGAACCUGAAACCGUGUACGUACAAGCAGUGGGAGCCCUUCUGGGUGACUGCGUACCUUUUGUAUAAUGGGUCAGCGACUUACAUUUUGUAGCGAGGUUAACCGUAUAGGGGAGCCGUAGGGAAACCGAGUCUUAACUGGGCGUCUAGUUGCAAGGUGUAGACCCGAAACCGGG
rnacentral:rRNA from 1 species